rnacentral:rRNA from 1 species
UACAGAGGGGGCAAGCGUUGUUCGGAAUUACUGGGCGUAAAGGGCGCGUAGGCGGCCUGUUAAGUCGAACGUGAAAUCCCUGGGCUCAACCCAGGAACUGCGUCCGAUACUGGCAGGCUUGAAUUCGGGAGAGGGAUGCGGAAUUCCAGGUGUAGCGGUGAAAUGCGUAGAUAUCUGGAAGAACAUCGGUGGCGAAAGCGCUCUACUGGACCGCAACUGACACUCAGGGACGAAAGCUAGGGGAGCGAAUGGG